rnacentral:lncRNA from 1 species
CGUGAGCCCUGUCAUUUGGGCUGCUGCGCUUGGGCUUCUAUUCCCUCAAGUGAGACUAUCAGAAGGAGUCCGCAUUUUUCAAUAGAGCAGCACGACAUUAAGCGGAUGGUUUCUGAACACUGGCACUUCAGACUGUGAGGUCUCUGUGGGUGGGUUUUAUGCCGUGCUCUUUGGUUGCUGGAAUAGAAAUCCCACGGGAAUCGUGUAGCAGCAGCAGACUUUGUGGAUAGCAAAGAGGAUUAUGUGAGGACAUUGGGAAGAGAAGACUUUGUUCGGUUGUAGAAGAUUCUGUUACAUCCUUCCUCAAAGACAAUGAUUACCACUUACUCGUGGUGCAUUUGCAUACCUUCAAAAAUCCAAGAAAGGAAACGGAGUCCUCUCCACUGAAGAUCUACUCUAAGGGAUCUGCUGCCUCCAUUCAGACACAACUAUCUGGAAGCUUCUCAAGACUGAAAAAAGUUACAUCUCACUAGCUACACGACAAUAUGUAAAGUAUUUGGCAAUGUGCCUUGUUAAGCAUUAAAGAAAUGGCAGUUAUUAUUAAGCUGUCACUAUUUUGAAGUUUUGCAUUUUUUGACAUUGAAAAUAUAAGAUGAAACAAAUAGUAAAAUAAGGGAAGAGGAGGUUCAUCAAUGUAUAUUUUGCAAAUACUUAGGGUUUUUUUUUAGCUGUUUCUUUUUAAAAAUUCUGGAUAUCAUUAAAUGCUGGUGGUGACUUUUUAUCAUGCAGGAAGAAAUAUGUGAGUUCUAUUUGUCACAGAACACUAAAUCCCCAGGAAAAGGGACUACAAUUCUCUAAGUCUCUUAUGCUUACUUCAAACCUGUGUUAGACUAUUGAGUUAAGGACAACUCUGUCCAUACACACUGAAUUAGCAAGCAAGUAACUUUUCUCUAAGGACUUGUUUUUCCCAACCUCACUUGAUUCUGUUCUGAAGCAUAAAGUUGCUUAAUAAUUACAGUAACAGAUGAUAUUUUUAGCCAUAUGUCCAAUUCUAUUAAAAUUUUAUGAGUUAGUCACAUUGUAUAAAAUUCCCAUGAGUAAAGUUACAUAAAAGCAAUGGGAGGAGGUUAUUAACGGUUAGUGGAAUGCUGGAGAAAAAUCUUACAUAAAAAUGUCUGCAUUUUGUUCCUAAUGUAUAAUGGCAUAUACCCCAGUCCUCUGCUUAACAUUAUGUGUUUGGUGCCCUUUCGUGAUGC